CGGCAACGGCAGCGGCAGCUACACGAAUCUUCGUCCACGGUUUUGCUCCUUGAAACACUUCAGCUUUCAAUCUGGAAAGUUUCGAACAACUUUGCAAUUCCGCGAAAGUACAUACCUCUUUUUGCAGGUACAAAGUAUUCGAUUUUCUGAAAUAAGACUUCUCGAAACUGACAGAGGGUCACUGGCACGUUCCAAUAUUAUUUCUACGGACAAAUAAGAGGUUGGCCGAACUAUAUCUCUAUGGAUACUGUGUGGUUCUAAAGGGCAAGUCUGACCUACCAAAACGAGCUGGAGGAUUAAAGUUUACAAGCGACGUAACUCUAGGAUUGUUAAUACCUUGUUCACAACUUUAUACAUAAAACACCAACCCUCUUUGAAGGCGAUAAAACGGAGAAGCUUAUGUUGAAUGCCCUCACUUUCAGAAAAUCCGACGUACAGCCUUAAUGGAAUAGUGGAACAUCUUGCGAUAAGAAAACGCUGGGAAUACGCGCGUGUAUCGGCAAAGGAUCGGCAGAAAGGUGAACGGUACUGGAAGAUUAGAUCGACGUCGGGCAAAAAUGGUUGGCCGAACGAGGCAAACGAGGAACGUCAGGGAAAUCGGAGCGGAAGUCGAACUUGAAGACGGUACUGGUCCGUCGAAUCUGCAUUUACAUAGCAUCCACCGUAUUUCACGCAAAUAGAAUGGCUUUGGAGACACGGCCUUUCUCUUUUCUUACCGCGAACGCCGCGCCACGGCGAAUUCAAGGGGGCGACGAGGGACGAAGGAGCAAAGGGGCAAAAAGGCUUUGAGCUUACGACAAUGCCGCCUUAAGUCGACUUCGAGGAGGUUCCCAAGGAGGAAAACUCAGUCGGGGACAAGGGUGUAUUGUCGCGCGCACAAACAGCGAAAUCCUUCUUUCGCUGGAACGCAUGUAGGUCACGUAAGAUCUUUCUUUAGGGGUACCGGGCACAUAACUUUAAUCGAUUUUCUGCCGGAACAAUACUUGGGCAAUAGUCGUGCUCGGACAAAUAUCGACCGGUCAAGAGGACCGGCCAACUGAAAUAACUCCGUGACCUCUCUGUC